rfam:Oryza barthii chromosome 2, whole genome shotgun sequence.
AAUAAGUGCAGUUUUGCACUAUCUACGUUCAACAUUUGACCGUUCGUCUUAUUUGAAAAAUUUUUAUGAUUAGUAUUUUUAUUGUUAUUAGAUGAUAAAAUAUGAAUAGUACUUAUGUGUGACUAAAUAUUUUUAAAUUUUUCAAAUAAGAUGAAUGGUCAACGUUGAGCAUGAAUAUCUACGGCUGUACUUAUU